rnacentral:rRNA from 1 species
GGUGAGUAACGCGUGAACAAUCUGUCCCAUACAGGGGGAUAACAGAUGGAAACAUCUGCUAAUACCGCAUAAGACCACGAUGCCACAUGGCGAUGGGGUAAAAGGAGGAAUCCGGUAUGGGGUGAGUUCGCGUCCGAUUAGCUUGUUGGUGAGGUAACGGCCCACCAAGGCGACGAUCGGUAGCCGACCUGAGAGGGUGAUCGGCCACACUGGAACUGAGAGACGGUCCAGACUCC